rnacentral:rRNA from 1 species
CCUACGGGAGGCUGCAGUGGGGAAUAUUGCGCAAUGGGCGGAAGCCUGACGCAGCGACGCCGCGUGGGGGAUGACGGCCUUCGGGUUGUAAACCUCUUUCGACCUCGACGAAGCUGUGCUUUUUGGUGCAGUGACGGUAGGGGUGGAAGAAGCACCGGCCAACUACGUGCCAGCAGCCGCGGUAAUACGUAGGGUGCGAGCGUUGUCCGGAAUUAUUGGGCGUAAAGAGCUCGUAGGCGGUCUGUCGCGUCGGUCGUGAAAACUUGGGGCUUAACCCUGAGCUUGCGGUCGAUACGGGCAUGACUGGAGUUCGGCAGGGGAGACUGGAAUUCCUGGUGUAGCGGUGAAAUGCGCAGAUAUCAGGAGGAACACCGGUGGCGAAGGCGGGUCUCUGGGCCGAUACUGACGCUGAGGAGCGAAAGCGUGGGGAGCGAACAGGA